UUUAAAACGACAGUACACAUUUAUUGUCUUACAGUGUAUAUAGAUCAUACAUGCAGAAAGAGCAUGGCUUGAUUGUUCGUGAGGUCAGAGUUAGAUGUUGGUGGGGGCUGCAAUCAUCUGAAGACUUGACCGAAGCUGGAGGAUCUGUUUCCAAGUUGGCUCACUCACGUGAGUGGCAAUUUGUCGCUGGCUGUUGGCACAUGGGCUUUUCCCAAGAGGCUUCUGGGUGUCUUCCUAGCAUGGUGGCUCAUGUCCACCAGACCAAGGGAUCCAAAAAGAAGCAAAGCGAAUGCUUCAGUAGCUUUAUGACCUAGCCUUGAUGUCACAAACCACUACCUCCACCAUAAUCUGUGGAUCACACAGGCCAGCCCUGACUCAGAGCGAGAGUAGACUAUGUAAGAAAGUGAAUAUCAUGGGCUGGCAGGAACGGAGAUGUGGUGUUGAGUCAGCUUCCACGAUGCGGAUAACACGCCACCUGAUGGCAUGGCAAAGCCCACGUCUCAGAUGACCACACGAAGCUGCUUACCAGCUUGGACUGCCUGCCAACUUGGACUUUGAAGUGAGAGAGAAAUAACCCAGAAGAACCUAGAGGAUAGAGGAAUAGUUCUUCCUCCCUACAAGAACUAACUUCAACAGCAUCAACAGCAACACCUG
ensembl:lncRNA